CAAGCACUUGUGAGCAAGAGCUAAUCACUGGAUUUACAAGCAUUUGCCAGAGGUGACACCGACUCAUGUCUGUGCCAGCGUGGAUCACAGCUGAAGGUCUCGAGGACAGACAGAGAUCGGGACCCCUGUCCUGGCAGCGGUCAUGCCCUUUAGUCUCUGCACACUGUGUUUUCCCCUCUCUGGUGAUCCCAGGCGCACGGACGGGAUCAUUCAGAGCUCACAUCCCGGCCCUAGUCUUUCUGCCUGGGAUCUGAACUCACCCUAUAGCUCCGGCCUCUUGCUUGCAGCUGAG